rnacentral:rRNA from 1 species
CGGGAGGCAGCAGUAGGGAAUUUUCCGCAAUGGGCGAAAGCCUGACGGAGCAAUACCGCGUGAGGGAAGACUGCCUAUGGGUUGUAAACCUCUUUUUUCAGGGAGGAAUUUUGACGUGUACCUGAAGAAUAAGCAUCGGCUAACUCCGUGCCAGCAGCCGCGGUAAGACGGAGGAUGCAAGUGUUAUCCGGAAUCACUGGGCGUAAAGCGUCUGUAGGUGGUUAAACAAGUCAACUGUUAAAUCUUGAAGCUCAACUUCAAAAUCGCAGUCGAAACUGUUUGACUAGAGUAUAGUAGGGGUAAAGGGAAUUUCCAGUGGAGCGGUGAAAUGCGUAGAUAUUGGAAAGAACACCGAUGGCGAAGGCACUUUACUGGGCUAUUACUGACACUCAGAGACGAAAGCUAGGGUAGCAAAUGGGAUUAGAUACCCCAGUAGUCCUAGCCGUAAACAAUGGAUACUAGAUGUUGAACAGAUCGACCUGUGCAGUAUCAAAGCUAACGCGUUAAGUAUCCCGCCUGGGAAGUAUGCUCGCAAGAGUGAAACUCAAAGGAAUUGACGG